UGGGGAAUUUUGGACAAUGGGGGCAACCCUGAUCCAGCCAUGCCGCGUGCGGGAAGAAGGCCUUCGGGUUGUAAACCGCUUUCGGCCGGAACGAAAUCGGGCGGGUAAAUAAUCCGCCUGGAUGACGGUACCGGAAGAAGAAGCACCGGCUAACUACGUGCCAGCAGCCGCGGUAAUACGUAGGGUGCGAGCGUUAAUCGGAAUUACUGGGCGUAAAGCGUGCGCAGGCGGUCUUUUAAGACAGGUGUGAAAGCCCCGAGCUUAACUUGGGAAUUGCGCUUGUGACUGGAAGGCUCGGAGUGCGGAAGAGGGAGCUGGAAUUCCUGGUGUAGCAGUGAAAUGCGUAGAGAUCAGGAGGAACACCGAUGGCGAAGGCAGGCUCCUGGGCCAGCACUGACGCUCAUGCACGAAAGCGUGGGGAGCAAACAGG
rnacentral:rRNA from 1 species